rnacentral:rRNA from 1 species
CAUGGCCUACGGGACGCAGCAGUGGGGGAUAUUGCACAAUGGGGGGAACCCUGAUGCAGCGACGCCGCGUGGGUGAAGAAGCGCCUCGGCGCGUAAAGCCCUGUCAGCAGGGAAGAAGCAAGACGGUACCUGACUAAGAAGCCCCGGCUAACUACGUGCCAGCAGCCGCGGUAAUACGUAGGGGGCGAGCGUUAUCCGGAUUCACUGGGUGUAAAGGGAGCGUAGACGGCCAUGCAAGCCAGGGGUGAAAGCCCGGGGCCCAACCCCGGGACUGCCCUUGGAACUGCAUGGCUGGAGUGCGGGCG